rnacentral:lncRNA from 1 species
GAACUGUUGUGUCCUAAACCACGUGACGGUUGAAGAUAUUCUGUGGCCUGUUUGUUUUUCCGUUUCUGAUCACGUGACCAGAAGAGAAAAGAGCAAACGAAAAAAAAUUAAAACAGACCCACUUUGGAAGUACCGCUGGAAUAAACCGGAAAUGGGACUAGGAGACCGACCAAUCAGGAAGGCGUCUUGGGGAAGUCCUCAACCAGUUGACCCACCCCAUCAACUCCUCCCCCGCUGGGCCACCAAGAGAAGCUCCCAGGAGGAGCCAGAGAGAGAGAGAGAGAUCAGCCCACUGGAUCCGGUCCUCGACCGCCCAUAAUAACUGCCACCCACUUCAGAAAGCUGUGCCUUCAACCACUCGUUGAUAUUCGACGCUUUUCUAUUCAUUCAUUUAUUGGUU